CCUACGGGUGGCAGCAGUAGGGAAUCUUUCACAAUGGGCGAAAGCCUGAUGGAGCAACGCCGCGUGAAGGAAGAAGGCUUUCGGGUUGUAAACUUCUUUUAAGAGGGAAGAGCAGAAGACGGUACCUCUUGAAUAAGCCACGGCUAACUACGUGCCAGCAGCCGCGGUAAUACGUAGGUGGCAAGCGUUGUCCGGAUUUACUGGGUGUAAAGGGCGUGCAGCCGGGAAGACAAGUCAGAUGUGAAAUCCCGCGGCUCAACCGCGGAACUGCAUGUGAAACUGUUUUUCUUGAGUACCGGAGAGGUCAUCGGAAGUCCUUGUGUAGCGGUGAAAUGCGUAGAUAUAAGGAAGAACACCACUGGCGAAGGCGGAUGACUGGACGGCAACUGACGGUGAGGCGCGAAAGCGUGGGGAGCAAACAGGAUUAGAUACCCGGGUAGUC
rnacentral:rRNA from 1 species